AGUAUCAUAAUAUAGAUACAAUAUGUAAUAUGGAGAUAAUACCUCAGAGUUGUGUGUUUGUUAUAUGAUGAUAAUGCGGAAGACAUAAGCGAUCUACUUCCUGCGUCUUAGUUUAUAACGUGAAUUGUAUUGUAGUUAUGCAUCUUGUACCAGCUAACAGUAUAACUAGUCGUAGGAUGGAUAGUAGUGUCUAUAUUAUUUUGUGAUGUGAAAGAUUAAAAUUUUGUAAUUGUUUUACGCGGACGGAAAACGCACUGGUGUCAAGUAUGUACAAGUCGAGCGCCGCGGCACCAAGCCAAAUAAAAGCGAAUAUAUAAUUUUUAUUUUGGGGCCGGUGCUGCUGUAUAAAUUAAAUUAUAUUUACACAUCAAGUCUUCAGCACCCCUGGGAAAAUGCCCUUCUUUACCUUUUAGUAAAUAAGGAGCGGAUAUCAGGCACAAUUUAUGCUCAUGACAUCCUGCCAAGCCACACCCUCCCCAGGAAUUCAGCAGUGAUAAACAUUGAAAAAUAAGCGUCAAUAAGCAUGAAUCAGUAAUAUUUCUAAGAGUUGGUAAAUUUCGUGCCAGCCGCCGCGGUUGUACGAGAAACUC
rnacentral:rRNA from 1 species